GCUGUCUUUUGAGGCCCCUGGUGUUUUUUUGCAUCUUCGGAGAAACCAAGACUAGGAGCCACAUGAUAGAGGACCUGAAAGCAUAAGCUCAAGUGACAUUGAGGAGAAGCCAUGCAAUUAUCCAACUGUACUGACACCAUUAGGGAGCUUGAGCUGGAUCACAGGACUGGUCAAGCCCUUCAGUCCACUUGAAAACACUUUACAAUUUCUGGCAUAGGUGUGUGAGAAUGAUUUAAUUAUUGAAGCCAUUACUAAAGGGAGGAAUUGAGGAGCUAAAAAUGGGCAGAUACUGCUUCUGCACCAGAAGGGAGCUGGACUGACAAACACACAGAGCUCAUUGCUGAACUACAGAAGUUGGACACAAGCUUUGAGGCCAUGUGGUUGAAUCCAAGAUUUAUCCUCCAUCCCUGGACCAGAGACAUCCCCAUGAGCCUUCAUCCUUUGCCUGGUACCAGCCGUGGGGUGAAAUGGAGUUCUUGAACAGGAGGUGAUCUGACAAAAAGCAUAUUUGCACCACAGAUACCUGAUGUAUUACUUCAUCAGCAAAUUCAACAAGGCCAAGAUGUCUUCAUUUUCCUUCAGAGCAAGAGCUGUAAGAGCAGUGUGGUGGAGGUAUUGGUCUUCUGUGGCCAGGCGGUGAGAGCCCAUCGACAGCUGUGAUGAGCAGAGCAGACACGGGAGACAGGAGGCAGCUGAAGCCAAAGAGGACCCACGCCUGGAGCUGUGUCUGUGUGAUUGGAGCAGAGAGAGGCCAGGACCCAAGGAAAUCCCAGCAGCAAGGGAAAAAAACAGAUUGACUCUCAGUGACUCAUUUAGCUCCUGGAUUGGACAGAUCUCUCCCCUGCUGGCAAUUUGGCUGAGCAUCAAUGGACAGAUACCAGGAUGAAUAGCUUAAAAUAAUUAGGGGUUGGGAAUUUGCAAAACUGCUAGCCAUCCAAUUCUUUACUGUGCAAUGUGAGGCAGAAAAAAGAAAUUACAUUUAGGUUAUUAAAUAUUAAGUCAGUGGAUUUACUUCCAUUUGGUGCAGAACAGGAAACUGGCUAAAAUUCAACAUUUAUAUCAUUGUGUUGAUGGUCUGUUUAUCACUGAGCAAGUAAGUGCUUUUUGGCAGGUCAAGCUCUUUGACACAUGGGGCAAAUGCGUGCUUAAUUUCUCCCAAACAGAAGAAUUAAUAUAAUAAUAAUUAACACAGAUGAGAACAGAAUUAAAAUCAAGUACAGUCAGGAGUUUAGUUUAAUGCGAGGUGUCUCACAUUCUAGAUGUUCUGGGGCCAGAUUUUUCCUGUUGAAGAUAGCAAGGGUUUUGCCUUUGGCACUUCUGGGAGCUGAAGUGCGCCUUGCACGUAAAGAGACAGGAUUCCCUGUACUUUCUAUUAAGUGCACAAAACCAGAAGCAACAGGCUCAUUUAGUAUCAGUAAAGGUCAGUUAAAAUUAUAGAGACAUCCUUUGGAGCAAAUCCUCUGUCUUGCAUUUGCAUAUUUAUGAAUUAGAGAUUACGACAGGCUAUUUCAUUUAUUAGAGCAGCACUGCUAUAGUUAAUAGUCUGUCAGUACUUCCAUUAUAAACCCCGUUUUUCAGUGUUUAAUAUCUCAGCCAUUUAAAAUCACAUCAGGAAGCAAGUCAGUCUUAUGUUGCUGGCCAGGUGCAAUUUUUUGUUAUGGAUUACUUUCAAUAAUGAAAUACUGCUCAUCAUAUAUGCAAAUGAGCCACAGCAUUUCUGUUGGAGGGACAUAGGAAGGUGUGUUAGUUUCAUUGUGGCUUUGUUUUUCUUUAGGAAAGAAGGGAAAAGAGGAAUUUGACCAAUCAUGUCAACUGUGGCCUUAUGUUUGAAGAAGAGUUUUUCAAGCAACUGCUCUCAGAGGCAAGGCUGGUUCUCAGUGGGAAAUCAGGUUGCUGUUUGCUUUCCAGUGGUGACCAAGGUAAACAGGCAUGGAUCAUAGUACGUGAUGGUAAUAACAUUGCCCAAACAGAGUAUCUUCCAUCUCCCAAGGGACUCAGUCUUCUUCAUAAACAUACAAAUAGGAGACAGAAACCAGGCAUAAAGAGCCCUUCAUUCACUCAUGGCAUAAAACCACCCCAAAACAGACAUGUGACAAUUGCUGAAUCAUGCAUUGGAAUAACUGAAGGCAGAGAACCACCAGGAAAGACUUUCUAUCUCAUGAAGAAUCACAUGAGAUUAACCAGAAAUGUGACUAGAACUGUGAUAUUUUUAUGACUUACCAGACAUUAGGGCAAUCCUUAAACCAUGGUGAAAACAGAUCCACACAGUGAAUCAGAUCAUUCUUUGAACUUAGCCAGGAAGAUCUAGGUUACAGCCACCAAAUGUCUUGAGCAUUUGAGUUAAUUCUGAUCUCUGCUAAGAUUUACUGUGAAUGUGGUGUGAAAGUCUGCUGCACUCCCAGCCAAAACCUCCCUGCCUGCUCAUCCCUCAUUCCUCCUGUGCUACAUCUGUAGUAACUGACAAGUAUGAAUAUCACUGGGGCCAGCACUACAGAGAUGGUAACUUACACAGUAUAAACAGAAAACAUGGCACACAGUACUUACUCUUUUUUGAUAUGGUUUCAAGGUGAGAAACCCAGGAGAAGAAUGGAAAGGUGAAAAUUCCAACACCAAAAAGAAACCAAAGAGCCCUACGCUGUGACUCAUCAUUAAUGUAAAAUGUCAGAGCCUAAAGCUCUGCUUUUUUCAUGUGCCUGGAUGCAGAAGGGUGAGGUGCCCUCUGAGGAUGAUUUUAUCUUUUACUUUUGAGUCUGAAGAUCUUGAAUGUGGUUUGGCAAGUUCAUAAAAAUACUGUGAUGAAGUUGAGUUGAGUUGCCAUCUGGAAAUGAUGCAUACAGAGAUGUAAGAAAGCUUGAGGAGAAAACUGCAAAUGCUGGAAGAAGAAUCAGCAAUGCACAUGAAUGAGGUUAAAAAUUGCAGACAAUUAGCUACAAGAUGACUCCUACUAAAUAAAUCAUCAAAGACUUGACUACUGCUUCCAGGUUUCUACUGCGAUAUUAGCUCAUUGGAACAGUCAAAAAGAUGUUAAUUUGGCCAAAGUUUUAGAAAUGUGCUAUUCUUGUUUGAAUUAACAAAUCAACCAACAAGGCCAAUCUAUACUGUCUUGCCAAGGCUAUAAAGCUUCUAGGGAAGCUAUUAUAUUUAAUGCUCAGGAUCUAGGGCCCCAUGAUAUGCAAAAUAAGCCUCUUUGUGUUAAAUGAGAGCUGAGCAGGGAAGAAAACCUGAUCUUGUCAUGGAAUUUCACAUCUUGUUCCAGCAUUCAGGAAAGUGCUUUGGAUGUCCAAUUUAAUAGAGGAGCACAAUUUUUUUUUUUCCUGUAUGCCUCCACAGACCAGGCCUUGCUCUGUUCUCAUUUAGUUUAAUCCAAGACUCAAAGUAAAAAAUAUUCCAAUUGCUUCCAAUAGGCAUCCAAUCAAUCUUGUGCAAUGGUUUUACUUAAAUGUAAAUUCAGUGCUAAGUUCCUCCCAAGAAAAAGAGAGGUAAGUGAUACGAGUCUACACACAAACUUUCCACCCUCCUGUUAUUUGCUGCUGAUAGAACCUAUCCUUUGGCUUGGCAAAAACUUCUUAAUUUGUCUGGUCUAUCUGCAGGGUUGACUGGUGUAAAAAAAAUGCUCACCUCGACCUUCUUUAUUGCUACAUCGAGCCAGCUCACUACAGUUGUACUCUUUUCUACUGCUUGAGAUUUACUUGUGUCCCUGGUGUGUUGUGAUAAGCCUCUGAAUGGCAGUGCUGUGAAGGUUUUGCUCUUCCCAAAGACUCUCCUGAGGUUCAGUGAAGGCAAGUAGGGUUUG